UGGGGAAUAUUGCACAAUGGGGGAAACCCUGAUGCAGCGACGCCGCGUGAGCGAAGAAGUAUUUCGGUAUGUAAAGCUCUAUCAGCAGGGAAGAUCAUGACGGUACCUGACUAAGAAGCCCCGGCUAACUACGUGCCAGCAGCCGCGGUAAUACGUAGGGGGCAAGCGUUAUCCGGAUUUACUGGGUGUAAAGGGAGCGUAGACGGCGAAGCAAGUCUGGUGUGAAACCCCGGGGCUCAACCUCGGGCCUGCAUUGGAAACUGUUUUGCUUGAGUGCCGGAGAGGUAAGCGGAAUUCCUAGUGUAGCGGUGAAAUGCGUAGAUAUUAGGAGGAACACCAGUGGCGAAGGCGGCUUACUGGACGGCAACUGACGUUGAGGCUCGAAAGCGUGGGGAGCAAACA
rnacentral:rRNA from 1 species